CCUACGGGUGGCAGCAGUGGGGAAUAUUGCACAAUGGGGGAAACCCUGAUGCAGCGACGCCGCGUGAGUGAAGAAGUAUUUCGGUAUGUAAAGAUCUAUCAGCAGGGAAGAAAAUGACGGUACCUGAAUAAGAAGCACCGGCUAACGACGUGCCAGCAGCCGCGGUAAUACGUAGGGGGCAAGAGUGAUCCGGAUUGACUGGGGGUAACGGGAGCGUAGACGGCAGGACAAGUCUGGAGUGAAAUGCCGGGGAUUAACCCCGGAAAUGCAUUGGAAACUGUUCAGCUAGAGGUCAGGAGAGGUAAGUGGAAUUCCGAGUGUAGCGGUGAAAUGCGUAGAUAUUAGGAGGAACACCAGUGGCGAAAGCGGCUCUCUGGUCUGUAACUGACGCUGAGGUUCGAAAGCGUGGGUAGCAAACAGGAUUAGAUACCCCAGUAGUC
rnacentral:rRNA from 1 species